UCCUGGUUAACCCAGGCAGUCUCAUUAGAGUUCCCACCUUAUAUGUUGGCAACUAAUGAUAAGGGUUGCGCUCGUUGCGGGACUUAACCCAACACCUCACGGCACGAGCUGACGACAGCCAUGCAGCACCUGUGCACCAGCCCCGAAGGGACACGCCAUUUCUGGCGCUGUCUAGUGCAUGUCAAGCCUGGGUAAGGUUCUUCGCGUUGCAUCGAAUUAAACCACAUGCUCCACUGCUUGUGCGGGUCCCCGUCAAUUCUUUUGAGUUUCAGCCUUGCGACUGUACUCCCCAGGCGGUAUACUUAUCGCGUUAGCUUCGGCACAGCCGGGGUUGAGUCCAGCUACACCAAGUAUACAUCGUUUAAGGCAAGGACUAC
rnacentral:misc_RNA from 1 species